rnacentral:rRNA from 1 species
GUUUGAUCCUGGCUCAGAUUGAACGCUGGCGGAAUGCUUUUACACAUGCAAGUCGAGCGGCAGCGCGGGGCAACCUGGCGGCGAGCGGCGAACGGGUGAGUAAUACAUCGGAACGUACCCAGUUGUGGGGGAUAGCCCGGCGAAAGCCGGAUUAAUACCGCAUACGACCUGAGGGUGAAAGGGGGGGAUCGCAAGACCUCUCGCAGUUGGAGCGGCCGAUGGCGGAUUAGCUAGUUGGUGAGGUAAAGGCUCACCAAGGCGACGAUCCGUAGCUGGUCUGAGAGGACGACCAGCCACACUGGAACUGAGACACGGUCCAGACUCCUACGGGAGGCAGCAGUGGGGAAUUUUGGACAAUGGGGGCAACCCUGAUCCAGCCAUUCCGCGUGAGUGAAGAAGGCC